rnacentral:rRNA from 1 species
GACGAACGCUGGCGGCGUGCUUAACACAUGCAAGUCGAACGGAAAGGCCCUGCUUUUGUGGGGUGCUCGAGUGGCGAACGGGUGAGUAACACGUGAGUAACCUGCCCUUGACUUUGGGAUAACUUCAGGAAACUGGGGCUAAUACCGGAUAGGAGCUCCUGCUGCAUGGUGGGGGUUGGAAAGUUUCGGCGGUUGGGGAUGGACUCGCGGCUUAUCAGCUUGUUGGUGGGGUAGUGGCUUACCAAGGCUUUGACGGGUAGCCGGCCUGGGAGGGUGACCGGACACAUUGGGACUGAGAUACGGCCCAGACUCCUACGGGAGGCAGCAGUGGGGAGUAUUACACAAUGGGCGGAAGCCUGAUGCAGCAACGCCGCGUGCGGGAUGACGGCCUUCGGGUUGUAAACCGCUUUCGCCUGUGACGAAGCGUGAGUGACGGUAAUGGGUAAAGAAGCACCGGCUAACUACGUG